UGCAGCCCUCGCCCCGCGCCCCGCCCCUCGCGGCACGCCCUCCCUUACCUGGCGCCUUGGUCCUGGUUCCGAGAGCCGCAGCAGUUGGAGAAGAGGCAGAUGCCACCCAGGAUGGCGAGCAGGGAGGCGCUCCAGCCCAGGCUGUAAGCUCUGGAGGGCAGAAACUCUCACCUUUGGAGUCCCUCCCACUGCCUGGCUCCUAGUGCGGGCUCAAGAAACAUUGCUGAUGGACUGAUUUGUAACCAAGGGAUCUGGUGAGUAUGGGUGAGAGUGGGGUGAGCUGGGAGAGAGGGCAGGUGUCAAUGCAAAGGGGAAGGUGAGGCAACCCUGCAGUCUGGGCCACGGGCCACCCCACCCCCACCACGGCACAGCGUCCCCCCAUCACUUGCCCCCAAUUACCAGCCAGUAUGUUUAGGGCCCCUGCGGUGGCCGCCAGCUUGGUUUUCCUGGAGGGCUCCAGAUCCCCAAUGUUCGUGCAGCGCAGCCCCACCAUGCCUAGGAAGAGGCCCAGGAAGCCCAGGAAGAUGGCGGUGAUCAUGAGCGCGCGGCAGGCCUGGAUGUACCCUAGGGAGGUGGGACACAGCCAUGGGUCCCGGAGCCGGCCCCUUCCCCUCCAUCUGCCCUCCCGGCUACGACAGGCAGCCCCUUAUACAAUCUGCUCAGGCCUCAGUCCCUAAAAGCCCUCAAGUCCUCUCCCUGUCCUUCAGGCCCCAUCCAGACUAAGGGGUCAGGCCGAGGGGUCACACGCCCCUCCAUCCCAGGAGCUCACCUCAGUGCCAACGAGGCUCAGCGCCGCCUGACCCUCCCGCCUGCGCAGGCGCACUUCGCCUCUACCUCCAUUACAGGGCUUCUCCUUGGCGCCACUGACACUUUGGCCGGAUAAUGCUUUGUUCUGGGGGCAUUCUCUGCAUUGUAGGACGUUUAGCAGCAUCCUUGGCCUCUGCCCACUAGGCACCAGUAGCAAUCCCCCCAAACAGGACAAUCAAAAUGUUUAGACAUCGUCAAAAAAUCACCCCUGGUUGAGAACCGCCGUGCUCUGCUGGGUAUUACAGACACUGCACCCAAGCACCCCCUCCCUCUCCCCACAUCUACUAGGUCCCAUUUAGUGCCCAGCGCAGUGCCCGACAUCCUGAACUGAGCCUCUUCCUGGAGUGACCGAUAGGGGGCAGCAGUGACCUAUGGGUCACUGGGUAAAGGGCAGUUUCUUAUCUGGAACGUGGGAUACCUGGGCCUAGGACCAAUCCAGGUCAGUCUAGCGCACAUGCUUUCAGUGCCUGUUUCCCCUUUCUCAAACUCCAAGAAAAAGGCUGCUCCCUUUCUGGCCCCCCCUUCCUCCUUCUCUGUCUUUGAUAGUUGCCAAGCACUCCCAAGAACCUUGCACCCCUUUACCGGGUGGGGCAGUGCCACCUGUGUUGAAGGGGAAAGGCUGGGUCCCUGCCAGGAGGAUGUGAAGCGGCCCAGAGUUGGGGAGCAGGGAAGAGCGAGAGAGUUCUCUGGGAGCAUUUUCUUAUUCCCAGCCGCUCCUUCCGGAGUUCCCACCUUCUCCCCAUCCAUCCAGCCAGCCAUCCCCACCUGGGGCAGACCAGCUCCGGAUCCUCAGGUAGCUCUCGUAGACAAAGAGAGAUUAUUGAAGGGCCCAUAAGAGCAUGGGCUGGGUGGCUGCGAGGUGAAUAAUUGAUAGGAACCUUCCCAGGACCAGAACCAGCCUGGGAAGGAAGUAUCAGCGGGCUCGUGAUACACACGAGUCCGGAUUCCAGCCCCCCUACCACCUGUGUGGCUCUGGGCAGGACACCUUGCAGUCUUCCAGCUUCUGGAAGAUGAGGUUACUAACACUGCCAACAGCGGGGCUGUUAUCAGCACUGAAAUGGCGCAUGUGAAGCGUGAGGCACAAUGCCUGGAACCUCAGCCUGGGCAGCUGCGCUCUCUGCCCUCCUGCUCAGCACACCCUCGCACCCCUGUCUUUCAUUGUCUUUCGUGCACACUCACGAGAGGUUUCAAGCAGCAACCCAAGUUGGGGCCCCUCCUUACACCAUGGUGUGGUUGAGGGGUAAGUCAGGGGGUGGCCAGGGCUGCUGAGUGGCUGCCGCCAAUGUCUGUUCUGGCCACCCAGCGUUCUGGGUGUCUGGCCCAGACUGUACUCAACUUUUACAGAGGGCUUUUUUCGGGGGGGGGGGGCGGGCAUCCUGGAUGGGAUGAGAGCAUGAAGCCCCUGUAGCUGCCUCAGGAGAUUCUGGUAAUAGUGGGGGCACGAGCGACCCACCUGGACUCCCUAACGGCUCAGAGCACCUUUGACAUACACUGGGGCGAUUUCGUGGCAUGCUGACCUCGGCUCUUUCCCCUACCACCUGGCCCCUGCAGCAGGGGGCCUGGAAAAGCAUGACGCCUCGUGAGCACCCAGUGAGGGCACGGGAGCUGCACUGCACAGGGCUUCUUGUCAUCCCCUCUUGGCCAGGCGAGGGGCCGACUGAAGGACUCCUGGGGGACAAUGCGGGUGCUACUCAUAGGUGAGCAGGGAGCAGGACGAUGCUUCAGCCACCACGGAGGAACUUUCUGGGCCAAAAGAGCUGUAGGCUCCAGCCCGCCAAGAAGCUCAAAAAAGUACGUUGACCCAAGAACCCCAAGCACAUACACACACACACCCCUGCUUACAGUGGACACUGAGAUGUGCAAGAGGACUCCCUUUAAAACAGUCCUUUAGAACUCACCAUGGAGGUGAGACCAAUGCUCCAGUGGAAGCCUGGCGAAGCUACUGAGACUUUUAAGUAUCUCACCCCCCAAGAAUCCAAGAUGAGGUUUCCUCUUCACCCCACGAGCCCCAGCACUCCCACCCUGAAACUGAAAUGCUGAAUUUGAUUGAGCGAAUAUAGAUGCUCACAUCACAUUAACAUUUUGCGCAUUUUAUCGCAUAUAAUCCUCACGACCACCCGGUGAACCAGUGCCAUUAUGACCGUAAUCUUACAGAUGGGUCAAAUGCAGCUCAUUUUGUCACCUGCCCGGGGCACAGAGCUAGUCAAAGGCAGGUGCUGAAGCCGGCACUCUGGCCCCAGUGCCUGCACUUGUAGCCACAAAGACAGAGGGUCAAGUCAGAGCAGGGGGCCACGUGUGGUGAGGCCUCCACCGCAGUUCCAGAGGGCUGCCCCCGGCACUCCUGGCUUCAGGAACCCAGGUCUCCCAGCUGGAUUGGGCCUCCCGUAUCUGUAUGGUGCCCAAGGUCAGACCACAGGCAGCACCCACCCUUGCCGGGGUCUCUCCAACCUCCCGCCUCCCUCUGCUCCCCUCAGCUCUCCCCACCCCGUACCAGAGAGGGCCAGCAUGGACGGAAACUCCCAGCAGUUGUAGACUCCAAGGGAGUCGGUGGCACAGCUGUACCAGAGGUUCUCGAAGAUGGUGCUGGUGGUGAUGACGUUCCCGUGCACGGUGGACACUCGCCAGCUGCUGUGUGUCAGGGUCACCCCUAGCAUCAGCAGCCCCAGGGCUGCGAUGAAGAAGCCGAAGAUCUCCACAGCCACCGACAUGGUGGGACACAGGCCCCGGGGGGGAGCCUGGGGCCCCAGAGAAGGGGAGGGGCUGAGCCCCAGGGGAACUUGAAGGGGCUUUGGCUAAGGACGGCGGUUAAGGCAGGCUGGGGAGAGAGAGGGAGGCAGCCUGCAGCCUCUGCCUCUUCCUUGGCCCAGGUCUGUCUCUGGUUGGUCUCUUCCCUCUCUCUGGGUCUCUCCGCUUCCCUGCAGGUCGGUCAGAGGAGUGAGACAAGAGUGCACGGCAGCUGUUGAAGAGGAGAUGGACGGAAUAAACGAAACGGGCCAAAAGUCCACCCCUCCCCCCCGUCUCUGGGCUGCCCUGGGCUCCCCGCCCCACGAGGGUGUGGGGAGAGGACUUACCGGGGAGGGACUAACGGAUGCCGCCAAGGCAGGGUUCCCACGGGAGGCACUGGGAGCCGAGGGGAAGCAUCCGCCUCUGACUCAGCUUUAAUCGGGGGCCAGAGAAUGGAGUAAGAGGGACAAGAGACAGAGACGGAGACUGACCACAGGCAGGUCCCCUGCACCUUUCAGUGGGGAAGGGCCAAGGGAGCGGAGCCACCCUCUCUGAAUGUUGGUGAGAACAAUUCAGGAAACUCAAAGAGCUAGGGCUUGAGGCGUUGAGUCUCCAAGGAAGAUGAAGGUUGAAAAAGGGAAUGGGGAAUCUGGGAGAAACCCAUGGCUCUGGAAUCCAACCAACCUGGAUUCAAACCAGGUCCCAUCAUUUACCAAAGGAAUGUGGGCAUGAAGUUUGAGCCCCUUGAGCUUGUUUCCGAUUCUGUGAACUAGAACUACUACUUCUCACUUCACAAGAAUCGUGACUACAGAUCAAAGCUCCCCGCAAGUAUGAAUCGCUCGAUACUCGACACUUGGUGAAUGCCCUGGGUCUGGGCGCCCAAGGGCCAGGGUGAGGCCAAAGGAGGUUGCUUUCCCCCAAACUUCAACUUCCUGAACUUGAAGGUCCCCCCUUGUCGGGAUGAUCUUUGACUCUCGGCAAGAAGCUUGAUCUUGCUGCUAAGGGGCCUCAAGGGGGAUAAAUCACAAGCCCAGGACGUGAUCCUCUGAUAAACUAAAAAGCAAAGAGUUAUCAGAACUGUCACCAGCUCUAUUAAUUAUGAGAGAUUAGAAACCUCUGGGUCCCCACCCCAAACCGAGGCUGAGCACCUGUCCCGGCACAGACGGUCUCAGUUCCCGCCCCAAGGCCACGGCUGGGGCAGCUCUGGUUCUCUUCUGGCAGGUGAGGCUGGGGCUCAGUCCAAGGGGCCCGUCCUACACCCAGGCGGUCACAUGGGCAUCACUGCGCCGAGGUGUAGUCCCCCAUCCCCUCCUCCCCGUGUCAGGCUCCUCUGUGCUCCCCCGGGCGCCUCCGCCCCAAUCCCCCCCAAGCUGGGCUGAGGAACGAGAAGUAUGCAGUGAAGCAAUGCAGUGAAGCAAGGCAGGCCCGUGCUGAGCCUGGCACCGGCCGGGUGUUGGGCAAAGCAGGCUGUGUGGGGACUGGGUCCCAACCUUCCUUCUGCAACUGGGAUGUCCUGGGUUCCUGACCUCUCCCAAGACCUCUGCCGACUCCACGCCAAAUGCCCAUUUCCUUCCCCCAACCAGUGGCCCCUCUCCUCUAAGGAGUGGGAUGGGGGGGAGGAAGGGGAGGGCGCAGGAAGACAAAGGGAGGGAAGGGUGGAGGUUUUGGAGGAAACUGAGUGGGGGCCCCCCUGGUGUGGAAAACUCCACACGCUGAGAGGCAGCUGAGUGGGUCAGAGGAGAUGGUGUCCCUUCAGCUCUGCCCUUUCCGCCUCUGGUAACUGCUUUUUCUCAGGAUUCUACAUCCGGGCAAAGGGCACGCCCCUAUGCUGCCUGCCACUGCUCAAGGACGUGGCUGGGCUGGGCUGGGCGGGGUGGGGGGGGGCGGAGAGGAAGCGUGUAGGGUCUGGGCAGCUCAGUGGACAAAGGAGAACCCCACACCAGCCUGGGGGGCAGGAGUAGGAGGGCACAGAGCAGGGAAGGCCCAUGCAUGACCCCCACCCCUGGGCCCAACAGAACCUGCCCCUUCCUCAACACAGACACAGAGGUUCCCAAGCCAAAGCCCAAUUUUAUUUACACUCAUCCCAAAACACAUGAUUUGGGGCUAGGGGACAGGUCCCAGGGGAGAGGAGGUUGAAGGUCACAGAGGACAGUGACAGGUGCAGAAGAAGAAAGGGAUGGUGAGGAUGGGUGGGCCUCUCUUCCAGUGUCCUCCAUGGGCUCCACGUGUCUGUCCCCAGGCAGAGGCAGAGACGCCGUCUCGUUCAGGAUUUGGACUUGGAUACAGCAAGUCCGAUGAGUCCAGCCAGUCCCGCCACGCCCAGAGCCAUGCCUCCAACAAUGGCCAUGCCCACUAGACCAUCUGGGGAGAGGAAAAGGGAGACCGUCACGAGUCCAAAAACCUAGUCCCCGCAGGGACCUCGGCCACCAUCUUGCUGCCCGCCGCUCCUCAACAGAGGAUGUGCCUCUGUAUCUGGAGUCAUGGGGUGAGGGACCCCUGAGGGAUGGAGAAAGAAGGGGGUUUGGAGAGGAACUGCUUGGAAGGCACCAUCUGAAGAGAGACCAGAGGGCCCAGGCACGAGGGAAGGAGGAGGACUUAACAGUUGAGAGGCACCUGGGGAUGCUGGGGGCCAGGGAGACACGAGGGUGGGGAGUGGACAGAGAUGGAGGGAGAAGGGCAGAGAGGACGGCCUUCACCUUUCUUCAUGGCCUUGUCGAUGAGCUGUUCCAGUUCCUUGGCCUGGUUGUUCUGCGGCUCUGUCUGCAGCAGUCCUCGCACAUACUUUAGGGCUUUUUCAUAUUCCUACACUCAGGGAGAAUGACACACCCCCCUCAGAAUUCUAUCCCUCCUCCUACCCAUCAGAAGGGCCUUCCCUCCGCUGGCCCCAGGGCUCUUCCCUCUUCCUCCACCCCCUCCCUCCCUCCAGCCCCACCCAGUGGAGUAGAGUCCACAAACCACCCCAACUGUGUGGGGUUGAUAAGCCAAGGGAGAUAACAGCCCAAGGCUUGGGGCUGCACCCCACUGCUGACGUCACACUGCUCCCCACACCCUCGGCACCGGAUCCUCUGUCUCUCACCUUCCCUCAGCAUCCUGCUAUCACCCUGCACCUCUGUGACGUGGGAGAGAGAGACGAGAGGGAGUUCGGCCACCCAGGCGGGGUGGAGGGGCUGAAGGAGCUCUCCGCCUUACCUUGAGCCGGUAGUUGCCCACAGCCAGGUAGAAGACAUAAUCCCGCUGCUCCUCUUUGCUCCCUUUGGGCAGCAGCUCUAGGGAGGGGGGGAGGGAAGAGGGUAAAAACCCCUUCUCUCCCUUCCUAGUGCCUGUGUCCCAGAGACCCCCUCCACUCCCUGAAUACCUAUAAGAUCCUGGGAGAAAGUCACUGUCCUGAGCCUUCAUUUCGGCUCCGGUCACUCCGGGCUUCCCAGCCAGAGCUCUGGGGCAGCAUGAACCCCAGCUGCCCCAAUGCCCCAGUAUCCACACCCCGGUAUCAACACUACAGUCAACUUUGGUUCAUCCAAGUGAACUGAAAGGAAAUCAAGGCACCAGAGAAGCCAAAAGGCAUCUCUACUCAGCUGUGGCAUCUGCUGUGUAUUUUAACUGCAGCAGCUUGCUGACCAGAAUUGUGUUCAAAAUCAGUUUGCGCUCCUUCCCCCUUUAAAAAAACAGCUCCAAACUCACCUUCAGUCACCCCUCCCUGAAAGACCCCACCUGACUCUUAGUUCAGUGACUUCCCAGAGGUUCAUGUGUUCAGUUGUACUCUGCAUUAGAAUUUGCUGCUAAGUGGUUUUGCAGGUGUUUACACAUCUUCCCAAGUGUCUGUACUGUCUCCUCAACUAGACUGGCAAUGUUUAGAGACCAAUUCUACAGCUGUGCCCUGCUGUAGAGGAAACCUGAGAAAUAGACAAAUGGAGGCGGAGAUGAUUUGCAUUAAGGAAGAGUCUUACUUUUAUGGAUUUGCAACAGGCAUCCUUGGCUAGUACAGUGCUUGCUUAUACACCAUUACUUGACCAAGAGAAAGGGGGUACAGAGAAAUUUAAAGGUCAAGUAUUGUGGCCUCUGAAAAAUGGUGACCCAUCCAAAACCAGCAGCAAAUAGGAUUCUGAUCAUAAAAGCACCAUGUGCUCACAGGUUUUGGGAACCGUCUUCUGUACUUCUUCCACACCCACCCCCCCCCCAAAAGGUUU